CUGAAAAGAACUAUUUACCACCGCUGACUGUCUUAUUGGUAGCAAACCUACUUGGCGAGAGCAUCUGGCGUGUGCAUGAUGAUUACCCUGUGUAAAGCAAUAUUUUACUGUUGUCUCAUGCUUGCUUCAGUCUCUAUAAGUACUUCAUCAAGCUCAACACUCUACAAACCCUCAACUACACUCAACUGACGUACUGCUUUUACAUCUACAGCUGUAAAGCAAGAUUUUACUGUUGUCUAAAAGAGAGCAUGCUUCCUUCAGUCUCUACAAAUACUUCAUCAAGCUCAACACUCUACAAACACUCAACUGAGACGAAUUAAACUUUCAAAUUAAUAUAUUGACUCUUUGCAUCUGGAUCUUGCGUUGUUUCUCGGCUCUCACAUCAAGGUUUCACAUUUUUUGUCGGCUUUUUACAUCUGCCUCUUGCAUUGUUGUAAGUUCUUCCAAAUUUCUUGGUUUUUUUU